rnacentral:ncRNA from 1 species
AGGAUCCCUUGUAAAUGUGUGUCAACAACGCACGUUGAAUACGUCCUGCCCUUUGUACACACCGCCCGUCGCUCCUACCGAUUGGAUGACUCGGUGAAAUCACCGGAUGCUUACGAGCAGAAAGUGAUUAAAUCACGUUAUCUAGAGGAAGGAGAAGUCGUAACAAGGUAACGGUAGGUGAACCUGCCGUUGGAUCAGUU